UUUCACGAGUCAGUCAGCUGUUCGGUUCUGGUUUGAUGUCAACCAAAUAGCGUUACACUUGUGAUAGAUCAAUAAAUGCGACAGUGCCACGCCCCCGCCCAACUGUAGUCACUGUUCUAGUGUCUACGCCGGGUAAUGGUGUGUGUGGCACUUGGUCGGCGCACUCCCCUAGAGAGUUGACUCAGUUGAAGGUGG
rnacentral:snoRNA from 1 species